GCUUUCUCUUUCGACCUUGCUCUAAGAUGUUCUAUAUCGUGCUUUAUUUUCAGUUUCUUCCUUAGUUUCAUUACAUUCAUCUCUCUGCUUUACUAUGUGUAACUCCUUUCUUGGAGUUCAGUUUUUUCCCUUGCUUUAUGAUUCCGUGAGUGCUCAAUAUAUGUGCCAAUGGUUACUGGGUGUCAUGCAUUUGCGGAUUUUAUAACUCCGUGGUGUUAGUGAAAAGUCAUGAAAUAAUUUUUCUUCCGCUAAAUGAAUAGGUGUUUGGAAUUAAACGGAAGAGUCAAUUCAUAGAUAUUAACAACAUUUAGCUCUGUUAACUGAGGAUCUUUGAGAGAAAUGAGGAAGAGGAACGGUGUUGGGCAAGUACAAAAAUGUCAAUAACUGAAAUUUUUGGUGGAUAGAGAUGAUCGAGGAACUCUGUUUUAGAUAUUCACCAAGCUUGUAACUUGUAGGUAGGGAGACGGUCCGAAUUCCUAGGAGCUUAUUCAGCAGACUUACAGGAGCACUCCACUACUUCGGAGUUGCAGCUUCUUGGUAUAUUCUUUUGUGUACAUAUUUCGGGCAUGGCGGGGUCUUGUCUCGUCCUUAUGAUCUCAGUACUCCAGUUAGAGGCUCGUAGAUACAUACGUGUGGGUAGUAGAUGUUCUAUGACCUCUUUAGUGUAUACUCUGUACAUCAUUUUGUAGCCUCGUGGGCUUAUGUAUAUACGCAUGUUUUUGGGAGAUGUUUAGUGAUCAUUUCAUAGUAAGUUUUACUUUGAGAAGUUAUAUUUGUUCAGGUUGAGUAUGAUAGCUAGCAUGAUAAGUGGUGCUCGGUGGCCAGUUGCGGGUACCUGUCAUGGCCCUCUAGUUGGGUCGUGACAGAUUUAAUUAUGGAACACUAUUUUCACUAAAAACCAACACAGUUCAAAAAAUGCUAUUAAACUCCAAUGAACAUGCUCUCCAACUGUGAAUGUUACUAUAUAUAAGAAAGACUUCAGUUUCGACAUGUCUGUUAGUCUUACAAACAUUAUAGACUUACCAGUGAAAUUGUCUCUUUUCUUGUGAUCAUAUCUUUGCAUCUCUUCUCCACAUUCAUGGUUAUUUCUUGUAUCUUCUGUAUGACUUGUCAUAUUAGUUGAAUUCUCAAUUUUGGUUUUCAAUUAUUUACCUUUUUGUUUCUCAAAUUAGCCAGCUGGAGUUUAAUUCUCAGUAUGCCAACAUAUGUUGAUCAAUGUCAAAUGGGACUACUCUUUGACAUUUAAAAUUUUAAUCUCAUUACACUCUGAAUCUAUCAAUUUUACGGUUUUUAGUAGAAGUUUUUUGAUUUUGUCCACACGAGUUGUGUCUUAUUGAACAAACUAGCUCCGACCUUGAAGAGCAUUUGUUCUUAAUGUACCUCUUCUCUUGCUCCCAUGUCUUGCUUCUGGUUAUUUGAUUAAUCGAUACAUUGAUAAUAUCACUUGAGAUAUGUUAAAUGAGUUGGUGAUAAUAGAAAUGAAUGUACAAAAUUCAAUACUAGCUUAAUAACUACUAAAACUCACUCUAUGGUAAGAGCCUUAAACAUAAUAUUUAUGUGAAGUAGGUGAAGAUAUCAAAGGAUUAGGGUUAGGUUUAGGAGGUGGAGAGAUAAAACUGAAACCAGCUUGGAAUAAUUGGCUUGCAUGCGGACGUUGUCUGAGUGAUGGUUGUAGUCUUGUAUUGGUGAGAGUCCAGGGGUUCAUAACCUCCAAAAAAAAAAAAAAAAUGGAAAGAAAA